CCUACGGGAGACAGCAGUGGGGAAUAUUGCACAAUGGGGGAAACCCUGAUGCAGCGACGCCGCGUGAGUGAAGAAGUAUUUCGGUAUGUAAAGCUCUAUCAGCAGGGAAGAAAAUGACGGUACCUGAUUAAGAAGCCCCGGCUAACUACGUGCCAGCAGCCGCGGUAAUACGUAGGGGGCAAGCGUUAUCCGGAUUUACUGGGUGUAAAGGGAGCGUAGACGGCAGCACAAGUCUGGAGUGAAAUGCCGGGGCUUAACCCCGGAACUGCUUUGGAAACUGUGCAGCUAGAGUGCAGGAGAGGUAAGUGGAAUUCCUAGUGUAGCGGUGAAAUGCGUAGAUAUUAGGAGGAACACCAGUGGCGAAGGCGGCUUACUGGUCUGUAACUGACGCUGAGGUUCGAAAGCGUGGGUAGCAAACAGGAUUAGAUACCCAGUAGUC
rnacentral:rRNA from 1 species